UUUUUUUUUUUUUUUAAAGAAGAAAAAAAGAUCCCAAUUCAGUUGGCAAUCCGAGGGGAAAAGGUUUCCCCUGGGGUCUCUGCCAAGGCUGCUCGGCAGGAAACAAUGCUCAGGAGGCGGCUCCCAAGGGGCGCCUGGGAGGGACUCAAACCUCUCUCUCUCUCUGCUGCACGGAAAGGGGGCCUGCCUUCCACCACUCAGAAUAUCCCUCUGGCUCCUUGGUCUGCGGGAAUCCUUCUAUUAAAUGUCACUGCUUGCGAGAAGGAAUACCCUGGAAACGACUAACUUCCCAGGAGACCUGAGAGGCAGCGAAGACAGCGCCGAGUACACACAUCCUGGCUUUGAAUCGUCUUGGCCACUUACUAGCUGGUGACCCUGGGCAGAUCGUGCAGGACAGGCUCUGCGGCAGCACAGACCUCCCAGCUCUGCUCCUCAACAGCGGCGCGACCCCAGGCAAGCCUCUCUCGGGCUCCAGGUUUCCUUAAGUGGAAAAGGUAACAGAGUCACAUGAUUUAAAAUUCCAAAGGUAACACUCCUCACUCCGAUCCCUGGCAUCCAGUUUCCCUUCCCAGAGGCAAAGAAGAUUACCUGCUGCUUGGGGCACCAUGAAAAGUUACUGAAAGGCACCAUGAUCCAAGAAAGCUGGGACUCUGGUUAGGCAACAAGGCAUUCUAAUGAGUGUCCCUGCAGACUCUUCCCACCCGAAGGUGGAGUCUGCUUCCCCCUCUUCCAGAGGGCCGGCCCUGGGACUUGCUUUGACCCACAGAAUGAAGCAGGAAGCAGCACAGAUCACUGGGUGAUUUCCGAACCUCCAAAGGCCCUGCAGCUUCUGAUUUCACCCUCACCACACAAGAGCUCAUUGAGAUGAGCGAAUGAUGAGAGAAUGAUGGAGAGAAAGAGGUCACAUGGCCGGGCAAUGAGCCACCCCAGCCAACAGCCACCACCAAGACCCCGGACACGUGCUCAAGGCUGUCCUGGAUCCUCCAGCCCCAGUUCUGCCACACCUCCGACAUCAUACAGAGCGGCCUGGUUAUCCAGCCAACCCACAGAAUUGUAAGAAUUAAUAAAACACUGUUAUUUUAAGCCA